rnacentral:misc_RNA from 1 species
CUAGAGUUCAAAAACAGUCGAAACGCAAAAUUGAAAGUUACUGGCAAAUUCUUGAGGGAGUGAUCGAAACACAUCUCAGAUUUUUCUCUUGAGCACAACAGCAAACGCUCUGAAUGUUUCUCUAAGCAUGAACACCUUUGUUGAGACUGACCAUGCGAGCUGAAGCAUCCAUCUGGGAUCCUCGGGCAGAACCCGACUGAUAAGCAGUCCUCCCUGAUCCAUAUGCGGCGUCUUGAUAACGAGUGCUUUGAUAUCCUGCAUUGCCUCCUCGAGACUGACCCAUUCGGUCUCUAGAAUAUCCACCAGCCCCACCUUGGCCUCGCCCACCGCUGCUAUAUCCUGCACGCGAACUAGGACCACCAUGCCUUCCUUGAUUAUACGACAUGUUAUCUGGCCACCUGCUACUCCCUCCUACAGCCCCUCCAGCAGCAUAUUCUUGGUUGUCUCUUCGCCUCAUUGGUAAAUCUAAUCCUCCUAUUCUUGCCUCAACUGCUCUCUCGUUACUUUCAGCAAGGAUUGACAACUUAUCAGCCAGUUGGAAUGCCAGG